rnacentral:rRNA from 1 species
AAAUUAAUAAGAAAAAACUAAUAAAAAAAAAUUUAUUAUUAAAAAUAUCUAAUGGGGGUUAAAGUAUUUUUAAUAGAAAAAAUUUAUAGAUUUAUAGUUAAAUAGUAUUGUAAAAGAAAUUUUAAAUAAUUGAAAUAUAAAAUUUAAAUAAAAGUAAAUUUAAUUUAUUGUAUCUUGUGUAUCAGAGUUUAUUAAAUAAAAAUUUUUACAUAAAAAAUUCUCGAAUUUAAAAGAGUUAAUUAAUUAAAAAAGUUAAUGUUGAAUAAUUAUUUUAAAUAAUUAAUUAGAAAUGAAAUGUUAAUCGUUUUUAAAUAUAUCUAGUUUUUUCAGAAAAAAAUUUAAUUUUAAAUUAAAAUAAUUUUAUAAUUAAUUAAUUAAUUAUAAAAAUUUAAAAUUUAAUAUUUUAGGGGAUAAGCUUUAAAUUAAAAAAUUAUAAUAAUUAAUUUAUAAUUAAAAUUUUUAAUAUUUAUAUUGUUUAAAAAUUAUAAUUUGUUAUAAAAAAUUUUAAUUAAAUUAAAAUUUAAAAAUAAAAUUUAAUUUUUUAUGAGAAAAUUAUUUUUAAUAGUUAAAAAUUAGAAAUAAUGAUAAAAUUAGUAUAAGAUAAAAAAAAAAAUAAAUUUAAUUAAAAUUAAAUUAAAGGAAUUCGGCAAAAAUUUAUAUUCACUUGUUUAUCAAAAACAUGUCUUUUUGGGUAAUAAUUUAAAGUCUAAUCUGCCCACUGAUAUAAAUUAAAGGGCUGCAGUAUAUUGACUGUACAAAGGUAGCAUAAUCAUUAGUCUUUUAAUUGAAGACUUGUAUGAAAGAUUUGAUGAAAUAUAAACUGUCUCUAUUUUAUUAAUAAAAAUUAAUAUUUUAGUUAAAAAGCUAAAAUGAAAUUAAAAGACGAGAAGACCCUAUAGAGUUUAAUAUUUAUUUUUAUUACAUUAAAAUAUAUAAUUAAUUAAUGAAUUAAAAAAAAAUAUUUUGUUGGGGUGAUGAAAAAAUUUAAUGAACUUUUUUUUUUAUAAAACAUAGAUAAAUGAUUAAAUGAUCCAUAAUUUUAUGAUUAUAAGAAAAAAUUACCUUAGGGAUAACAGCGUAAUAUUUUUUUUUAGUACAAAUAAAAAAGAAAGUUUGCGACCUCGAUGUUGGAUUAAGAUAAAAAUUAAAUGCAAAAGUUUAAAUUUUUGAUCUGUUCGAUCAUUAAAAUCUUACAUGAUCUGAGUUCAAACCGGUGUAAGCCAGGUUGGUUUCUAUCUUUAAUAAAAUAUAAUAUUUUAGUACGAAAGGAUCAAAUAUUGAAAAUAAUUUUAAUUAAUUUGAAUAUUAUUA